GAGCCUUAACAGUGCUUGCAGAGUUUGCUGUACAAUUAGUGCUGCUCUGGGGCUGGGUCAAAGUUCUCAGCACUUGACAGGACAAAGCCUCUAAGGCCUGUGUCGUUUUCAGCCCUUUAUUUGCUGCAGCUGCUCAGUCAGGUGGCUUUUGCAUCUUCCAGAGGUUUCUCAUUUAAAAAAUGUUCUUAGGAGGAGGUCAGAGUAAGAGACCUGUAUUUGUGCUGCAUUGCUGGCCCAGGCUAUGGGAUGUGAUAGUCUAAUUCUCUGCUUGACUUGAGCAUGAACUUUGAUCUCCAAGACCAAAGAGAGGGGAUAAAGCCGAGCACAGAAGAGGAAGGAGUUUUUUUCUGAGUUUAGACACAUCAAGAUACAGAGAUGUCAACAGGAAUGACAUCCUGAUCAAAACAAGUGCACGUGCGUGUCCCCUCAAGUUUGGUUCACGAACAAAGAGCGAUCUGAAAAUCCGACACAUUCCUUCCGACAACUCCCACUCAGCUCUGCCUCCAAAUGCAUUUUACAUAUUUUUGCUUACAGACGCAAUGCUAUCAUCUCUCAACUCAUCAGAAAGUGAAGGAAACAAACCUCUAGAGGAGUGCUUGGAAUGAGCAAAAUAGAGCCAGCAAAAACACCCAUCAUCAGGGAAAAAAAUCAUGUUGGAAAUUAUGGACAGAACAAAACUUUAUGGAAGAAAAUCAAUGUCACUAUAAAUACACGUGAAGAUCCCAGCAUAUUAGUAACAGUCACAGAUGUGCCUCACCUCCUGUCAGAAAGACAAACAGCUGAUGAAGAUGGUCAUGACAAGCAAGAAGAACGAUGGGAGAGGGAACGGGAUAAUCUAGUAGCUUGGACUAACUCUCUGUCUAACAAAAGAUUAAGUGAUUAAAUCAGAGAGGCUGCAUGUACAGAUAAGUCCUUUAUUAUUUUUAAAUAUCUCACGUUUUUUUUUCUUACAAUUCCUACCAGGCAAAUCUUCAGUUCACUGCUUGUUUUGUUUAUUUAUUUGUUUUUCAGCAUGGUGCUUCGGUUAGAGAUUGAGUAGGAAUGGAAUAAGGAUCUGUUCUGUGCAUGCAGGCCUGGCGUUUUAUCAGGAUUUAUGCCCUCCCCUAGUCCUUGGUGGUCUGUUGCUGUAAUUUUUUGAAUCUUAUUACCUAAAUAGCUUGGUGUCUUUAGGUAUUGUAACCUCUGCUGGUACUACAGCACUGACAGAUGUAGCCAAUCCUAUGAAGAAACAUCUAGUUCUGAAUGCACAGAACAAAAUAUCUGUUGAGCGAGAAGAUGUUGUUACUUGUUUCAGAAUCAGACUAUGUAUUCGGAACUGAAAAACCAAUAAUGUUAUUUUUGCACUCCAGCGUUAAAUUAGAUCUUGUGUUCUUUUGGUCUGUGUACUGUAUAUGAAAUGUGUGAAUGUGGCCUAUUGUUGUUUUUCUGAAAGAACUGUACUCACCUCUUAUCUCUGCCAGGCUUAUCAGCUGCAGCCAUCACUAAGUAAUUAACACAGCUGUGUUUAGACCUAUAGAAAGGGCAAAUGACAUGUAGGUAGACAGGACAGUAGAGAUUCCUACAGCUUGGAUCCAAGCUCAGGUUUCAAGAGGCAGCCUGGUACACUCAUUAAGUAAGCCAGAGCCAUGUGAUUACAAAGUCCACAGGAUCACAUUCACAGAUCUCUGAGAUUACAAAAGAAACACUUUCACAAUCUUCAGGGCACUGGCUUCUUCGCAUGUCUGUACACUGCCUAAUGAGAGAUGUAAGUGUGCUUUAAUACUUGUACACUUUGUCCCAGGGAAAAAAUAAACCUCAGGACUGGAGCAUAAUGAUGACAGACGAGAGUACUAUGGUGUAGGAAUCCAUUAGAAAUGUUGGUUGUGUAAUUAAACUUCAAAAAUACUUCUUAGCAGAAUGUAUAGAGAUAAGAAGAUAUGAAUGUCAGACCUCUGAAACCUGUUCUCAAGCUGACACAGCAGGCAAGCAGGGCGGCUAUCAUAAAACAACCCUAUUCCACGGCCAGGGCUCUGUGUGUGUAACACACAUGACAUUUCUUCUCACUAACAGUCAUCUUGGGAUUUUUAUGACUAGGAGGAUGGUCCUGAAAGAAUAAAAACAUCGAAAACUGUAUUAUAUCUAUAUACAGCCAUGCCUGUAGGCACUGCAGUCUUUACGAAGAGAGCACAGGACUGAAGAAUAGAUAACCUGUCAUCUCUCCACAGCUGUGCUGCUACGAUGUGACCGUGAUCAAGUCUUUUCACCUUCCUAAGACUUCUUUCUCAUUUGACCUCUCCCGUCUGUGAGGGCAGUAAAGGUACAGAGUUUGUUUC